rnacentral:rRNA from 1 species
GAACUGCCCAUUAAAACUUUUCAGCUAGAGUAUGAUAGAGGAAAGCAGAAUUUCUAGUGUAGAGGUGAAAUUUCGUAGAUAUUAGAAAAGAAUACCAAUUGCGAAGGCAGCUUUCUGGAUUCAUUACUGACACUGAGGAACGAAAGCAUGGGUAGCGAAAGAGGAUUAGAUACCCUCGUAGUCCAUGCCGUAAACGAUGUGUGUUAGACGUUGGAAAUUUAUUUUCAGUGUCGCAGGGAAACCGAUAAACACACCGCCUGGGGAGUACGACCGCAAGGUUAAAACUCAAAUGAAUUGACGGGGACCCGCACAAGUAGUGGAGCAUGUGGUUUAAUUCGAAGAUACGCGCAGAACCUUACCAACACUUGACAUGUUCGUCGCGACUCUAAGAGAUUAGAGUUUUCGGUUCGGCCGGACGAAACACAGGUGCUGCAUGGCUGUCGUCAGCUCGUGUCGUGAGAUGUUGGGUUAAGUCCCGCAACGAGCGCAACCCUCACUUUUAGUUGCCAUCAUUAAGUUGGGCACUCUGAAAGAACUGCCAGUGAUAAGCUGGAGGAAGGUGGGGAUGACGUCAAGUCCUCAUGGCCCUUACGUGUUGGGCUACACACGUGCUACAAUGGUAUCUACAACAGGAAGCAAGACUGCGAAGUUAAGCAAAUCCCUAAAAGAUACCUCAGUUCGGAUUGCACUCUGCAACUCGAGUGCAUGAAGCUGGAAUUACUAGUAAUCGUGGAUCAGCGUGCCACGGUGAAUGCGUUCCCGGGUCUUGUACACACCGCCCGUCACACCAUGGGAGUUGGUUCUACCUUAAGGCAAGGUUUCAAACCCUUGACCACGGUAUAGUCAGCGACUGGGGUGAAGUCGUAACAAGGUAGCCGUA